GUAAACAACCCACUUGAAGGAGUUGGUGAAGAGCACAAUCUCGAUCAAAGUUUGGAAUUCUAGACUCUUCACUUGAGGUUCUGAAUUGCAUGAAGUCUUGGAGAACUAGAAAAGAAAUGUUAUAUUUUGAAUGCCCA